rnacentral:rRNA from 1 species
ACGCUCGACACCUACGAGAGGCAGCAGUGGGGAAUAUUGGGCAAUGGGCGAAAGCCUGACCCAGCAACGCCGCGUGAGGGAAGAAGGUUUUCGGAUUGUAAACCUCUGUCCUCAGGGACGAAGGACGUGACGGUACCUGAGGAGGAAGCCCCGGCUAACUACGUGCCAGCAGCCGCGGUAAUCUGAGCGGGCUGGCAAGGC